UACGUAGGGGGCAAGCGUUGUCCGGAUUUAUUGGGCGUAAAGAGCGUGUAGGCGGCCAGACAAGUCUGCUGUGAAAACUCGAGGCUCAACCUCGAGCUGUCGGUGGAAACUGUCUGGCUAGAGUCCGGAAGAGGAGAGUGGAAUUCCUGGUGUAGCGGUGAAAUGCGUUGAUAUCAUCAGGAACACCGGAGGCGAAGGCGGCUCACUGGGGGUCUUCUGACGCUGAGGAACGAAAGCCAGGGGAGCGAACGGG
rnacentral:rRNA from 1 species